UGAUGUGGGCUACAGAUAGCUAGCGCCAACCACUGACACUGCUGCAUGCCCAGUCCAGUCCAGCCUUCAAUUAUUUGUCAUUACAAUGGCUGUAAUAAAAAUGAACUAAUUGUUUAACGAUGACUGUUUCUCUGCCAUGGAUGUGUGGUGUGGUGUAUGGGUCCUUUAGAUCCAGAGGAGAUUGGAGGUACAGUAGAUGGUAAAAGUCUGGGUUCUCAGUUAGAGGUACAGUAGAUGGUAAAAGUCUGGGUUCUCAGUUAGAGGUACAGUAGAUGGUCAAAGUCUGGGUUCUCAGUUAGAGGUACAGUAGAUGGUAAAAGUCUGGGCUCUCAGUUAGAGGUACAGUAGAUGGUAAAAGUCUGGGUUCUCAGUUAGAGGUACAGUAGAUGGUGAAAGUCUGGGUUCUCAGUUAGAGGUACAGUAGAUGGUAAAAGUCUGGGCUCUCAGUUAGAGGUACAGUAGAUGGUCAAAGUCUGGGUUCUCAGUUAGAGGUACAGUAGAUGGUCAAAGUCUGGGUUCUCAGUUAGAGGUACAGUAGAUGGUGAAAGUCUGGGUUCUCAGUUAGAGGUACAGUAGAUGGUGAAAGUCUGGGUUCUCAGUUAGAGGUACAGUAGAUGGUAAAAGUCUGGGUUCUCAGUUAGAGGUACAGUAGAUGGUGAAAGUCUGGGUUCUCAGUUAGAGCUACAGUAGAUGGUAAAAGUCUGGGCUCUCAGUUAGAGGUACAGUAGAUGGUCAAAGUCUGGGUUCUCAGUUAGAGGUACAGUAGAUGGUAAAAGUCUGGGCUCUCAGUUAGAGGUACAGUAGAUGGUAAAAGUCUGGGUUCUCAGUUAGAGGUACAGUAGAUGGUAAAAGUCUGGGCUCUCAGUUAGAGGUACAGUAGAUGGUAAAAGUCUGGGUUCUCAGUUAGAGGUACAGUAGAUGGUAAAAGUCUGGGCUCUCAGUUAGAGGUACAGUAGAUGGUAAAAGUCUGGGUUCUCAGUUAGAGGUACAGUAGAUGGUAAAAGUCUGGGCUCUCAGUUAGAUGUACAGUAGAUGGUAAAAGUCUGGGUUCUCAGUUAGAGGUACAGUAGAUGGUCAAAGUCUGGGUUCUCAGUUAGAGGUACAGUAGAUGGUCAAAGUCUGGGUUCUCAGUUAGAGGUACAGUAGAUGGUAAAAGUCUGGGUUCUCAGUUAGAGGUACAGUAGAUGGUAAAAGUCUGGGCUCUCAGUUAGAUGUACAGUAGAUGGUAAAAGUCUGGGUUCUCAGUUAGAGGUACAGUAGAUGGUGAAAG